GGUAGUGUCAUUGACAGAAGAUGGGUGUUUUUUGAAGACUGUUUUGAGUUUGUUGGAUAGCCUUUCAUUGUAUGGAAAGUCUCAAGACCUUUCUUCUCAAUGUACUGAAGAUUCCUAAAGGAAUUCAACAUCAACACACUCCAAUCAAUGUGGGUUACUGUCCAAACAGUUCUCCAACUGAUGCAGCAAACUCGACAGAUAGUAAUCUUGACAUGCCUCUGAAAGUUUACAAAAUAAUUAUUCUUGAUUAGAAAUUACUAUUUUUUUUAGAUUUUUAUAUA